GCCCUCGUAGCUCAGGGGAUAGAGCACCCGCCUCCUAAGCGGGGGGUCGUUGGUUCGAAUCCAACCGGGGGCA
rnacentral:tRNA from 1 species